GGGGGAACAGGAGCACUGUUUUUCAAAGUAGCUCAUCUCGAGACAGGCUAUUUCCACGAUGAGCGCAUCGGCCAUCACCGUGAGUGGUAGCCUAUGGCUUCAACUUCAUCAUUAGGUGAGUCACUGUGCCACUGGCUAUGUUAUUUAGUAUCCUAUGAUAUAUAUACUGUAUACUGUAUAUUGCCUCCUAAAAUAUUAUAGAAUCUGUGUGUCGCUUCAUUGGCCUGGGCUAAUGGGGCGGCAGGGUAGCCUAGUGGUUAGAGUGUUGGACUAGUAACCGGAAGGUUGCAAGUUCAAACCCCUGAGCUGACAAGGUACAAAUCUGUCGUUCUGCCCCUGGACGAGACAGUUAACCCACUGUUCCUUAGGCUGUCAUUGAAAAUAAGAAUUUGUUCUUAACUUGCCUGGUUAAAUAAAGGUUAAGGUUUUUUUUUUUUAAGUUUUUUUUUUUAAAUGUGUGUUUGAAUUCAAGACUAGAUUGAUCUCAGUUUGUCAGUCAGAUUAGCCACUCAUUUCAGUGUUAUUAAAACAGAUUCAGCUAAUGCCUUCUGUCAUGUAAAUUACAUCUUUUUUUAAAGGCUUUUUGUUUUUCAGACCCAACAACAACAACAACAACAACAACAACAACAACAACAACAACAACAACAACAACAACAACAAAAAAUCCCAUGUGUGGAUAUCCUAGAAACGCCUCUGCUCAUCUGUAGCCUAUAUCACAUGGCACAUGUUAUUAUGGCUUUAUUGUAAACGGUCUUUUUCUUCGACAGUACAUUUACAAUGGGCAUCUUGGUGCAGGGAUUUGUUUACCGCAAAAAUUAUGGUGUGCCAGGAAACCAAAAGCCCCGGGGCCUAAAUUUUCUUAAUCCGGCCCUGCUGAUGGGAACCCGUGAUGUCAUUGGCCUCCCCCCAUAGAAUUAGGAAUUUAAUAGGAUCUCUAUGCUCACUCUUUUGCCUGAAGAACAAUAGAGGAGCAAUAGUGCUAUGUCUAGUGCUAUGUCUAGUGCUAUGUCUAGUGCUAUGUCUAGUGCUAUGUCUAUGUCUAGUGCUAUGUCUAGUGCUAUUGCUAUGUCUAGUGCUAUGUCUAUGUCUAGUGUUAUGUCUAGUGCUAUUGCUAUGUCUAGUGCUAUGUCUAGUGCUAUGUCUAGUGCUAUUGCUAUGUCAUACCUGGACCACCUAUUGAGACCUUUUUGUUUAAGUAAAUCUGGUGUUAAAGGAGACUGGAGUGCCACUUUAAAGGGUGUCUAUUCACUCAUCUACGAGGUUUGGGUGGGUAGAGGUAGAAGGCUCAUUAUAAUACUGUAGCGUCCCUAGGAGGACAUCACCUAACCACCUGGUCAAGAGGUUUGGUCCUCUUGGUGUAAGGUGUUGGAGUGACCAAGUCAGAGACUCAGGUUUGAGUCAUACCAUAUAGACAUAGCAUAAUCCAUUUUUUAAGGAAGGGAGACAAGUAUAUUUGGCUUUGGGACAGAGAAAGUGUGUUUUCUGAGAAGAGGCGUGAUGUGUUGAUGGCAGGGAAAGGGUUAAGGAUGGGCAUUCCACAAUAGGCUGCAGGCCAGGCAGCCAAUCAGCAUGCAGAACAGAUCUUCCAGAGCCCUGAUUGGCUGCUGGGUGGCCCCGUUGUCCUGACGAUGGGAAUCAGGUCCUGUCUAUGUGGUCUGUAUCCAGGCACUGGGGAAGUAUUCUGCUGGAAGAGAGAGGGAGGAAGAGAAACACUGAACAACCGGUUCUCUCUCUAUGUCUCUCUCUCUGUCUCUCUAUGUCUCUCUCUCUCUGUCUCUCUCUCUCUGUCUCUCUCUCUGUCUCUCUCUCUCUCUAUGUCUCGCUCUCUAUGUCUCUCUCUCUAUGUCUCUCUCUCUCUGUCUCUCUCUCUCUGUCUCUCUCUCUCUAUGUCUCUCUCUCUAUGUCUCUCUCUCUAUGUCUCUCUCUCUCUCUAUGUCUCUCUCUCUCUGUCUCUCUCUCUCUCUCUGUCUCUCUCUCUCUCUCUCUCUCUGUCUCUCUCUCUAUGUCUCUCUCUCUCUCUCUCUCUAUGUCUCGCUCUCUAUGUCUCUCUCUCUAUGUCUCUCUCUCUCUGUCUCUCUCUCUCUGUCUCUCUCUCUCUAUGUCUCUCUCUCUAUGUCUCUCUCUCUAUGUCUCUCUCUCUCUC
ensembl:lncRNA